rnacentral:lncRNA from 10 species
CUUGCCAUCUUUAUAGGAAAUGAGUGUCCAUUUUAAUGCUCCAUGACUGGCACGCGCUUAGGCUGCAUUAGAAUCUCACUCAGGUAGAGGAAGAAGCAAAGAGACUGCCUUGUUUUGAGAACAUGGAGCUCAACCUCAAAGCCAGGGUGCUGGAGGAGAACAUGGAAAUCAGAUCUUUCUGUUGCCUGGGGGCAGAGCCUUGUGUAUGAAUAGGGAUGUUCUGAAGACACCCAGGGUAGAAGCACUGUGUCAUUCAAGCAUUCCUGAUGGCUGGAGAGCCAUCCUCAAAGUGGCAC